CGGCAAUGCCAUCACUCUCUCUCUCUUCCAUCCGGCCUUAGAAUGAAAGCAUAAAACUCUUUGCUCGAACUCCAUUUUCCUCCAACAUUCUCUCCGUUGCACUCCUAUGGCAACAAUUCACAAACCCAUAAGGCUGAAGCCAAAACCCAAGUCCCCAAUCUACACUCUCGUGAUCUGCAUAGCUGCAAUUACAUUGUUGUUUCUGUUUUCCACAGAUGGGUUUUCUUUCUCCUCCCAAAUGACAUCCAGGAAACCCCAGAGGGUGAAGAGGCUACAUUCUCUCCAUGAUAAGUACUUGUAUUGGGGCAGUAAAAUUGACUGCCCAGGCAAGCACUGUGAGUCCUGUGAGGGUUUGGGUCACCAGGAGUCCAGCCUCAGGUGUGCCCUUGAAGAAGCAAUGUUUUUGAACAGGACUUUUGUGAUGCCUUCCACAAUGUGUAUCAAUCCAAUACACAAUAAGAAGGGGAUCCUUCAUCAUUCUAACAAUGCAAGUUCAGAGGAAAGGUGGGCUGCAAGCUUUUGUUCCAUGGACUCUUUGUAUGAUAUUGACCUUAUAUCUGAAACUAUACCUGUAAUUUUGGACAACUCAAAAGUUUGGCAUCAGGUAUUGUCAACAAGUAUGAAGUUGGGAGAUAGAGGAGUUGCCCAUGUUGAAGGAGUUAGUCGGGUUGAUCUCAAAGAGAAAAGUCACUACUCAAAUAUCUUGCUCAUUAAUAGAACAGCAAGCCCUCUUUCAUGGUUCAUGGAAUGCAAAGACCGAAACAACCGCAGUGCUAUUUUGUUGUCAUAUUCAUUUCUUCCUUCAAUGGUAUCAGAGAAAUUAAGAGACGCAGCAGAGAAGAUUAAGGCACAUCUUGGUGAUUAUGAUGCUAUUCAUGUUCGACGUGGUGAUAAAAUAAAAACUAGGAAGGAUAGGUUUGGUGUUGUGCGGAGUCUACAUCCUCAUCUGGACAGGGAUACUCGCCCAGAGUUCAUACUUCAUAGGAUCGAAAAGUGGGUCCCACCUGGACGAACUCUUUUUAUUGCUUCAAAUGAGAAGACAGCAGGAUUUUUUUCACCUCUCUCUGCCAGGUAAAAUUCUCAAACUUGUAUGAGAUCUGCAUGAGUUAGCACUACUGUUGAUGUUUAUUUGGAAUGUAAAACCAAUUAUUUCUUACCAUUGAAGCACAAAUCUGGGAUAUGGAUGCAUAAGCAUAGUAUAUGACAGUAAGGAAUAUUUCUAUAACAUAAAUGUAAACUAUAAUACUCCAAGAAAUAAUUGUGUAUUUAAGUACUUUGUUUAUCUUUUUGUUAUUUUCGGUACUCUAUUGUAAUUUAUCAUUGUUUGAUGCAGCAAAGAUUAGACUGUAGUUAAAUAUUGCAUGUUAAAAUCAUCACAAAUCUUGAUUGAGAGUUUGAAACUCUUUGAUAUAAGAUGGCUGAUAUGCUUAUAUGUAAAGAAGAUGAGAGCAACAAAGCUCUUUAGCCUAAGUUGAACUUGACUAUACAAAGUGAAACUAGUGUUGGUCUGUUAGACGGAUCAGUUGAUGGCUCACUUUUCCCCACUUUAUUUUGUUUUAAGCCAUGCUUUUCUGAACACUUUAAAUUAGUGACUAAUUAGAAGCCUGUUUAACUUAUGCUUGGAAUUAAAGAAAUGAUGUUCAUUUUGUUCUGUUUUGCGUGAUGAGAAAAACUAAAUGAAAGGUUUCAUAAGCCAAGUCACAAUCUUUUAAAAACUUUUGCACUUAUAAUGACCCUUCUUUGCUUUUCAAUUUAAUUUUUCCAUACUACUGUUGAACAUGUUCCCAAAUUCAUAUCUACUAUCUAGGAGUAAUCAAUACAUGUUUGAUAUGUUUUAGAAGUCGAUAUUUUUCAUCAAAUGGCUACAUUUUCUGUCAGAUACAGUAAUCGUAGCAACUCCUUUAAUUGUAGUAAAUGGCUACAUUUACCGUCUACGGAUGACACUUUAUGUGGUCAUUAACUGAAACCUAGAAAUAUCCAUGUUGAGGAAUUUGGCCAACUUUCUCGAAAAAUAAAAUAAAAUAAAA
rnacentral:misc_RNA from 1 species